ACCGGGCCUUUUGCCUUCCCGGCUCUGGGCUCCUUCCUGCGGGCUCGACGGCCGCCGGAGACCCGCGGGGGCAGCAGGGAACCGCUCUAGGAGGGGGCAAUCACGCUUUGUUAGCCCCCGUCCCUUUCCUCCCUCCCAUCCCGCUCCGGUAUCUGGCUGCCCCCCUCGCUUAUAGAAGCGCACAAGUUCACAAGGAGCUACUCUCCUCUACUUGUCUGGCGAGACAUCGCUGCUAAACUUCAGCCCCAUCAGCUGUGCUACUGCGACUCCAGCCAAGCAAGCUGCGUGCCGGCUUGCUUGUUUGCCUCCCCCUUUUUU